CCCCCCUCAGGGUUGCAUCUGGAGAGCUUCCAGUACUCUACCAGUCUUGACUAUGGGAGGGAGAGUCAAGCAGAAGCAUUUCCACUCCAUUCCUAGCUUGGCCAGUGGCUAGCGAGUGGAAGGCGAUCUGCUACAAGU